GCGGAGGAAAAGAAAAUAACAAUGAUUUCCCUUAGUAACGGCGAAGUGAAGAAGGAAAGAAGCUCAAAGUUGGAACCUGUUUGGCUUAGCUAAACCGGAUUGUAAACUGUAGAAGUGUUUUCCUGACACGCCUGGUAAAAAAGUCCUUUGGAACAGGGCAUCAUAGAGGGUGAGAAUCCCGUCUUUGGCCAGAGCUGUUGUCUUUUGUGAUACAUUUUCAAAGAGUCAGGUUGUUUGGGAAUGCAGCCUAAAUUGGGUGGUAAAUCUCACCUAAAGCUAAAUAUUUGCGAGAGACCGAUAGCGAACAAGUACCGUGAGGGAAAGAUGAAAAGAACUUUGAAAAGAGAGUUAAACAGUAUGUGAAAUUGUUAAAAGGGAACCGUUUGGAGCCAGACUGGCUUGAUCGUAAUCAAUCUAAGCUUCGGCUUGGAUGCACUUGCGGUCUUUGCCUGCCAACGACAAUUUUUUCUGGGGGAAAAAACUAAUGUGAAACGUAGCCCAUCUCGGUGGGUGUUAUAGUCCGUUAGAAAAUACCCUGGAUUGGAUUGAGGAACGCAGUGAAUGCUCUUUAGGGCAAGAUUGCUGGGUGCUUUCGCUAAUACAUGCUAAAAUUUCUGCCUUGGGUGGUGUUAGUGUGUAAAGGAGGAACUCGCCUAGUAUAUUUUUUAUUCGCUUAGGUUGUUGGCUUAAUGACUCUAAAUGACCCGUCUUGAAACACGGACCAAGGAGUCCACCAUUAGUGCGAGUAUUUGGGUGACAAACUCAUAUGCGCAAGGAAACUGAUUGAUACGAAAUCUUUAAGAUGGCAGUAUCACCCGGCGAAGACGUUUUAUACUGAACCGACCGAGGUAAAGCACUAAUGAUGGGACCCGAAAGAUGGUGAACUAUGCCUGAAUAGGGUGAAGCCGGAGGAAACUCCGGUGGAGGCUCGUAGCGAUUCUGACGUGCAAAUCGAUCGUCAAAUUUGGGUAUAGGGGCGAAAGACUAAUCGAACCAUCUAGUAGCUGGUCUG
rnacentral:rRNA from 1 species